AGCUAAUAGAUACCCGGGUAGUCCACGCCGUAAACGAUGGAUGCUAGCUGUUAUUCGUAUCGACCCGAGUAGUAGCGAAAGCUAACGCGUUAAGCAUCCCGCCCGUGGAGUACGGUCGCAAGACUAAAACAUAAAGGAAUUGACGGGGACCCGCACAAGCGGUGGAGCGUGUUGUUUAAAUUCGAUGAUAAGCGAAGAACCUUACCAGGGUUUGACAUCCUGCUAAUUUCUCCGAAAGGAGAGAGUGCCUUCGGGCCGCAGUGACAGGUGAUGCAUGGCCGUCGUCAGCUCGUGUCGUGAGAUGUUUGGUUAAGUCCAUCAACGAGCGCAACCCUUGUGACUAGUUGGAUUUUUCUAGUCAGACUGCCCC
rnacentral:rRNA from 1 species